GCUUCCCUUAUCACGGAUAGUGUGUGUUGAGUAUUCCCCGUUGGUCUUAUCACGACCAAAUCGAAGAGAAAAUUCAUUCUCUUAUCUUCUUCUUUCUCUUCUAUUUUCUUCUUCUCUUACUGCUCUUCUUCCCGUUCUUCUCCUGUUGCGAGAAUUUGAAAGAUUAAACGAAAGUUUUGGGAUCGAUAGAAGUUUUGUGUGAUAUUGAGGAUAAAUUGAGUAUCUGGUGAUGGGUAUUGCGAUUUGAGAUCAAGGAAGAAGGAUUUAUAUCUGAUUUCCCAUUCACAAUGAAGAAUUAGAGAAUUAGGGUGUUGAGAUUGAUGAUGAGUUCUUGUUGAAAUUGAUAAGUUACUCGGGUUGUUGAUAGAGGAUGAAUCGAGAGGGUUGUUGUGUGAUUGGUCCGGCAGAGUUGUGAUAGUGAAGAAUUAUGAGUUAGGGUUUCUGGAAGAAAUCAGAAGAAGAGUUAGAUGAUGAAAUUGAAGGUUUAAAGGAUUAAUUAGAAGAUGAGUUUAUUCUUAAUUGGUGUUUGAUGGAAGUUAUGGGUUGUUCUGUGAAGUUUCAACGAAUUAGGGUUUCUGCUAGUUGAGAUUUAAUUGAUAAUGAACCAUGAGAAAUUGGAACAAGAUGUUAAUUGGUAGAAUUGGAUUGGGGGAAACUCAAUUCAGUGGAUGCUGAUACUUGGGUAAGUCUCUAAAUUGAUUCAGUUCUAGUAUUUUAAUUUGAAUGGUUUUAAUUAUUGAGACUGGGUGAUUAUGAAUGCAUAUGAGUUUUAGAUGAAUUAGUAUGAAGAUGUGGUUGUAUAUGUAUGUAUGCUUGCAGGGGUAUAAUGAUUAUUGCAGGACAUGAAUGUUCCUUGGGUAUGUCUGAAUUUGUGGGUGGUGCCGAUUUGAUUGUAGAGAAUUGUAAAUAUUGGGUACCAGAUAUGUGUAUGUGUUGGUAUGAAUUAAAAUGGAGUUUCUUGAGAGAGUUUCGUAAAUGGGGGUAUGAUGUAUCAGUAUUGUUGCAAGGAAGGGUAGUUUGAAUUCCAGAUGCCGAUACAUAAGUUAGUGAAAUGGGAAUGGAGAUUUCAAGUUGUAACAGUAGUGCUGAAUUCAGACUGAACUUGGUGGUGGUAAUAUUUUCAGAACCUUGAGUUGGGAGAGUAGAAUUUGUAUGUGAAUGAUGUAUAGAAUCACAGUUGGUUAAUCUUUUUGAAAGUCUGCUGCUACUGCAAUUGCAGGGUUUUGUUGGUGAGGAAGAAGAGUUUGGGUUUUCUGAAACAGUCGCUGCAUGAUGAGUUGAAGCAAUGGAUGAAGAGAUAGUCCACAACAAUAGGAAGAAGAAGAAGACAUCCAAAUCAUGAAAUGGGUAAUUGUAAAAAUUGAUGAUUUCUUUUGAUUCAAUUUGUGAAUAUUUUUAAGUUAGGAUUCUUCAGUUCCUCAUGAGAUCAAUUGUUUUGAUUUUAUUUUAUUUAUUCAUUCUGAUUUUGAGGUGAUUGAUUGAAUAGAAGAAGAGGUGAAUUGGGUUUAAUUUGAAAUCCACUGGAGCUUCCGAAUUCAGUGUAUUUAAGUUUCUUUUUCUUUUAUGAUUUGAAUAAAUUGACUCAAUUCGAGAUG